rnacentral:lncRNA from 1 species
UUUUUUUUUUUUAAUGGGAAGCACCUGUUUUCUUUUCUCUUUUCUUUUGUAAUAUUAGAGUUAAAUCUGGUGUCUUUCACGUGAUAGGCAAACACUCUGUUCUGAGUCAUGCCUUCAAGCCCCUCCCUGGGAGAUUCUAGGCAGGGGCUCUACCACUGAGCCACGCCCCAGGCUCACUGGAGGAUUCUGGGCAGACAUUACAGUCAAUCACUGAGGAUGUAGAUGCUUUGGUUAAAAGAUACUUUAAAAAUUAAACUUUCAAUCUUUAAUGUACUCUCCAGUUUUUAGAGAGUAUAUUAUUUUUGACCUGGUUUGGUUUUUUUUUAUCUUAAAUCUUCUUUAGGACUGUCUUAUUUCUUAACUAUUGUUUCUUAUCUGUGCAUCUGUUUCUCUCUACAGUAAUAUCUUCUUUCAUUUUCUUCUCUUCUUCCUUCUCUCUCUCUCUCUCUCUCUCUCUCUCUCUCUCUCUCUCUCUCCUCUCUUCCCCCUCUCCCUACCUCUUUCCCUCUCCCUCUCUCCCCCCUCUCUCCCCGAGGGGAAUAAUAUCAUUUCUGUCAGACUCAUCCUUUAUAACCUUCUGGAGAUGAUCGGAGUACAUGCAUUGCAUAAAGUCUCUCAUAAAACCCUAUAUCAUAACUCAGGAGUAAUUCCUGGGUGGACGUUCAGCAGAAUGCUAAUCCUAGCAUAUUUAGUGUCUGUGUUAAAGGAUUGCAUCUGAGAGGAGAGUAAAGUUCAGAAAAAUUCUCCAAUCCACCAAGUCAGAGGCCAGCCCAUAUAAGUCUCAGGGGAAUAUAACCUGGAGCCUAAUGACACCUGGGAGAGGACUUCCAUCCACUGUUUACUAACAGUCAAACCUGUCAGCAGUCACUGAUCCUAAGAAGCACACAUGUGUCUGUCCCAGUGACUUCAGAAACAGGGCAGAGUGGGGGAGGGUUUCUCUGCCUCAAGCCCAGUGAUUAUUGAAAACCCUUAGACCCUUGAUGUAAUAAGAUUAAAAUGUUCCACAGAGGACUAGAAUAUAUUGAAGCCACCUUAUCAACAUGGGCUUUACGGACCAGGUUGACAUCUGCUUAAUUUUGCUAUUUUUGUUGAAAACAUAAUUUGCAUUACCAUUAAAUAAAAUAAAACACAGGCAGCCCCGCAGCCCAGUGACUGCUGGGGUGGUCAAGCCUCUAUAAAUUCAUUGACUUGCAGUGCUCAUGACUGAGCCCAGGAUUGUGCGAGCCGGGCCAGCGCCCUACUGCUAAUCCCCAACCCAGUGCCACAACCUCUCCUCUUAAAAGCUUCUGAGACAGGGUCCCAGGCUAGGCUGUAAGUUUUUAUGUAGUCCAAGCAGGCCUUGAACUCAAAAUCCUCCUGCUUCAGCCCCCUGAGUAGCUGCGAGGACAAGGUCAAAUAUUCUAGUCUUGCUUGCUGAUUUCAGAUGUGAGCCUCACUGUAAAAUGACACUUGUUUAUCGCAUUUUUAAACGAUAGGCAUACCGAUUACUGGUGACUCGCACGCAGGUGACUUUGUUGCCUCUGUUUAUAGCAUUUCCUAGAUGCUGGGGAGAUGGCUCAGGGGGUCAAGUUCUUGUCACAGAAAUCAUGGGGGCCUGAGUCUGGAUACCCCAGAGCCCAUGGCAAAACAAAAACCCAUUCAAAAGCAAAAAAACAGAUGUGGUGAUUCUAUUUGUAAUCUCAGCAUUGUGAAGGCAGAGAAAGGAGGAUGCCUAUGGCUUGCUGGUCAGCCUUCCCAAGCUGCCUGGCUAAAUCAGUGGACUCUAGACCAACGAGAGGCUCCAUCUCAAAAAACAUAGUAAGGAGCAAUUAGGGAAGGACACAGAUAAAGCGUUUCCUAGAUAAAGGCACCUUCAUGUCCUUCUACAUGAGAAACAUCUUCACUGCUUCUUUUUGUAGCCUAAUAUUCUGAGCAGAAUAAAUGGUGUGUACAGUAUCAUUACUCUGUGUGAGAAAAUGCAAAUCACCCCUUUACAUCAUUAGUCAGCAGUAAUACGAAAGAAAGUUAGGGAGUUGAUUGACGUUCCCCAUUCAGGAAAAUGAGCUAAUUUUGAGGAUUCUAUAGAGGGAUUCUACUUGGCUCCCAGGGCCUUGUAAACGGAAGUUGUCUAUCUGUCUGUAUGUCUUUCUUUUCUUCUCUUCUCUCUUCUCAUUCUUUUGUUUUUUUCUCAAAGUAGAAACUCAUACAGCAUUCGUUCCUUUAGCACCUAUAAGACUGAAAUCAAGAGAGCAAACCUAGAAGGACACUGGGUAUCCUCUAAGAUGCCACUUCAGCGUCCCUGUUGUUUUGGAUACUAUUGCCUCCAUCAACUCUGAUCACAGCCCCUCUCCCUCCAGCAUCCCUUCCUGGUGUGCCUCACUCCAGGCCCCUUGGCUGCCAUGAGGAAUUUAUAGUUUUCCUUGAAAUGAAUUUCAGAAAAUGGCCCAUGAAGUAUUUUGGUUUGGGACAAAAAUCUCACCCAUCCCUGGCUACCUUGAACUUAUUAUGUGGCCCCUAAAUGACCUUGAACUCCUAAUCCUCCUAGCUCCACCUCUGGAGAGCUGGAUUACAGGUGUAUAUUACCAGUCCCAAUCUGUGUUGUGCUGGGAGUGGGCCUGGCACACUCUGGGCAAGCCCUCUAGCCACAUCUCCAGCAGCCGUGCUGGUUUCUAAGUUUUAGAAAGUUAAGACUUUAAGAGAACCUGGAGAAGGACCUUGGCUCUCUCAGGAAGUUGGUCACUAGCCUUUGGGAAUGCUUCACUGCCCAGCAAAAAGUGGGGGCUAAAGUGUACGUUUAAAUUAAAAACCAACCUAACACGUUGCCCGCAACCUUUAACAAAUAAUAUAUUGGUUCCUUUUCGCUCCCACAGGGUAGCAAAUGAAAAUGCCGUCUAAAUUGUUUUAUUUGAAAGAAAUGUCAUCUGGUAUUUAUUGUUCCUUGAGUAUUACAAG